UCGCAAAUAUAUGAAUGCUAGUGUAAUAAUUUGGAUUAGAAAUUUUAAUAAAAUUAUUAUUACCAAGAAAAUAUUAGGGAAUGUUUUUAUUAAAAAUUUAUUAAAGAAGGUUAUGUUAAGAUUAAUAACUAACUCUAUGGAUCAAAGAUUGUGAUGGGCUGACUAAUGUUUUGCGAUGGUUCCGAGCGGUGGUCAUUCUAGCGAGGGAGCUCGAGAGAAGCAAGGGUGUGCGCGCGAUUUCGGCGAAGGGGAUCGAGAGGGGCAAGGCGUGAGCACGAUUCCGGCGAAGGAGCUCGGGAUAGGCAAGUACUAUCCCAUGGUAGAUAUAGGACUGAGCUUCUUUAAGAUUUUCAGAUGUGAUAUCGGAGAAGAAAAUGAUAAUAAGACAUUGGCAGAUGGCACAAAGACAGAAUGAUCUAGGGAAGGAGAUGGAAGUUAAGACACACUGUCUUGGACCAUAGAAUCUUAUGUACAAUCAAACUUUUGACUGUAAAGAGAUUUAAAACUUUUGUACAUGUAAAUGAAUAUAUAUAUAAAAAAAAAACUUCUCUACUA